UAGAACAGAAACUCCAUCUAAAAAGGUCUAAGUCAUGAACCACAGUAUGCAUUUGGGUUUGAUUCUAGGAGCUGUGGAAUUCAUCAGGGAUUUUUAUCAGGAAGUUUGACUUGCUUCAAGACAAGAGUGGAUACUUACAGAAGGCUCUGAAGGACUAGUGUGAAUAUUUUCUGAGGGAGGAAUCAGAAUCAGAUGCCAACUUCAAGGAAGAUUCAAGAGAUACAGCCCAAGGGAACCUGCCUGCAUGUGGGAUACCAGAAAACUACAGGAAAACUAAGCAAAUGACGAAACCCAGAAAUUUCUGUGAUCUGCUACUGGCUUAUUAUGACUACCAGCAAACCAGUGAUUAUGUCUAACCAUGGCUGGCUUCUGAGAUGGUCUGUUGCUGAGAAUGAACUUGAAUUCCCGACCUCCCUAAGGUUGGGAUUUUAGGUCUGACUCAUCACACCCAUUAAGUAUGGUGUUGGGGAUGGGACCCAGAGCUUCGUGCCUCCAGGUUUUUAGGAAAGACUACAGAUGAGCAUGGAGGAUUUGGAAACUACCUUCAUAAAAUCACGCAGGGUUCCAAGUUUUCCACACUUUUGGGACAUGCUCUUUGGACUACUGACAUAGGUGAAUUUGGGAACCAGCAGAAACGCAGAACUGGAGGCCCAGCCCAGACCUACGGAAGCAGAAUCUGCAAUAAGCGAAAUCCAAGAGUUGGAAGAAGCACGGGCCAGCUCUUCUCUUCCCUGGUGGUGACUGAGCACCCCUUCGAAUAUCCAGGGGUCACCUGGCAGUUUCCAGCAGCCAGUGGGGCUGACUUCAGGGGCCUUUUUGGCUCUGCACACCAUUCCAAGGCUGCCUAUGACAAGCCAGAUGGCCCCAUGGGAUCCCUGGGGAAGUGGUGGCCGAUCCGAUGUCACCUCCCUGGUACUAGAGAUCAGAUUUGGGUGAGAGAUCCUGUUCCUCUGAGUGUCACUGCAGCCUGGGAUUUUGAAUCAGUGGAUGUUAAGAUUGGGCGGACCCAUCUGUGUCACAGAUAGGCUACCUCCUGUCACCUUGUGAGCAUUGCAACCUUGUCCUUAGGAGCACCAGAAGCGGAAUACCGCCCCACUCCCCACCCCCACCAAACUUAAAGCCUAUUCAAGUAGAGGGUCAAAAGCUGCUAUUUCUAGCAAAAAGAAAAUGGCUGACUAUAUUCUUGAAAUGAUUUUUCUGUGUUUCUGUUGCAUUGGCAAUCAUGCCAGCCCAGCUCGGCCUAGUCCUCUGCCUACCCUCUUGGCCUUGCGUUCAUGCUUCCUGUGUGUGGGAUUCCAGAUCAGUAAACAAGGGUGCCUGGAGCCAAAGCCUCCCUCUUGGGUGUAAACACAUGAGUUGUAGUGAAGUUUGGGAGCCCAGGAACAAUCUGUGGGAGGAAGUGUUUCUCUGACAUCAUCCUCACUUUGUCCGUACACCAAGAACAGUCAUCCCACGUACAGCAAGGACAAUUCGGAGCUCAAACCCUGCCUCUGUGUCCACACUCCUCUGCACGUCCGUGUGUCUGUCUUUAAAAUGGCGUCUUCUCAAAUGGCUUUGAGACAAUUAAAUGACACUUAGCACAUAAA